rnacentral:rRNA from 1 species
ACUCUAAGCGGUGGAUCACUCGGCUCAUGGGUCGAUGAAGAACGCAGCAAACUGUGCGUCAUCGUGUGAACUGCAGGACACAUGAACAUCGACAUUUUGAACGCAUAUCGCAGUCCAUGCUGUUAUGUACUUUAAUUAAUUUUAUAGUGCUGCUUGGACUACAUAUGGUUGAGGGUUGUAAGACUAUGCUAAUUAAGUUGCUUAUAAAUUUUUAUAAGCAUAUGGUAUAUUAUUGGAUAAAUAUAAUAAUUUUUAUUCAUAAUAUUAAAAAAUAAAUGAAAAACAUUAUCUCACAUUUGAAUGUGAAAAACGAAGAGAAAUAUUUUCUUUUUCAAUCAAAUAAUACUGAGAAAUGUCUAGCAUAAAAAAUUGAAAUAUUUUUCAUCUAGAAUUGUCUCUUAUUAAUGAUUCGGAAAUAGAAAAAUCUUGGUUAUGUUAUUAUUCUUCGUUGGUUCGUUAAAAAUGGAUAAAUAAAAACUUUGCAUACAAGAAUUAAUAAAAAUGUUAUAACGAAUUUAAUUAAAUGUUUUAUCAUUAUAUAUAAAGAAUUUAUGGCAAGAUAAAGUUAUAUACAACCUCAACUCAUAUGGACUACCCCUGAAUUUAAGCAUAUUAAUUAGGGGAGGAAAAGAAACUAACAAGGAUUUUCUUAGUAGCGGCGAGCGAAAAGAAAACAGUUCAGCACUAAGUCACUUUGUCUAUAUGGCAAAUGUGAGAUGCAGUGUAUGGAGCGUCAAUAUUCUAGUAUGAGAAAUUAACGAUUUAAGUCCUUCUUAAAUGAGGCCAUUUACCCAUAGAGGGUGCCAGGCCCGUAUAACGUUAAUGAUUACUAGAUGAUGUUUCCAAAGAGUCGUGUUGCUUGAUAGUGCAGCACUAAGUGGGUGGUAAACUCCAUCUAAAACUAAAUAUAACCAUGAGACCGAUAGUAAACAAGUACCGUGAGGGAAAGUUGAAAAGAACUCUGAAUAGAGAGUUAAACAGUACGUGAAACUGCUUAGAGGUUAAGCCCGAUGAACCUGAAUAUCCGUUAUGGAAAAUUCAUCAUUAAAAUUGUAAUAUUUAAAUAAUAUUAUGAGAAUAGUGUGCAUUUUUUCCAUAUAAGGACAUUGUAAUCUAUUAGCAUAUACCAAAUUUAUCAUAAAAUAUAACUUAUAGUUUAUUCCAAUUAAAUUGCUUGCAUUUUAACACAGAAUAAAUGUUAUUAAUUUGAUAAAGUGCUGAUAGAUUUAUAUGAUUACAGUGCGUUAAUUUUUCGGAAUUAUAUAAUGGCAUAAUUAUCAUUGAUUUUUGUGUUUAUUAUAUGCACUUGUAUGAUUAACAAUGCGAAAGAUUCAGGAUACCUUCGGGACCCGUCUUGGAAACACGGACCAAGGAGUCUAACAUAUGUGCAAGUUAUUGGGAUAUAAACCUAAUAGCGUAAUUAACUUGACUAAUAAUGGGAUUAGUUUUUUAGCUAUUUAUAGCUAAUUAACACAAUCCCGGGGCGUUCUAUAUAGUUAUGUAUAAUGUAUAUUUAUAUUAUUUAUGCCUCUAACUGGAACGUACCUUGAGCAUAUAUGCUGUGACCCGAAAGAUGGUGAACUAUACUUGAUCAGGUUGAAGUCAGGGGAAACCCUGAUGGAAGACCGAAACAGUUCUGACGUGCAAAUCGAUUGUCAGAAUUGAGUAUAGGGGCGAAAGACCAAUCGAACCAUCUAGUAGCUGGUUCCUUCCGAAGUUUCCCUCAGGAUAGCUGGUGCAUUUUAAUAUUAUAUAAAAUAAUCUUAUCUGGUAAAGCGAAUGAUUAGAGGCCUUAGGGUCGAAACGAUCUUAACCUAUUCUCAAACUUUAAAUGGGUAAGAACCUUAACUUUCUUGAUAUGAAGUUCAAGGUUAUGAUAUAAUGUGCCCAGUGGGCCACUUUUGGUAAGCAGAACUGGCGCUGUGGGAUGAACCAAACGUAAUGUUACGGUGCCCAAAUUAACAACUCAUGCAGAUACCAUGAAAGGCGUUGGUUGCUUAAAACAGCAGGACGGUGAUCAUGGAAGUCGAAAUCCGCUAAGGAGUGUGUAACAACUCACCUGCCGAAGCAACUAGCCCUUAAAAUGGAUGGCGCUUAAGUUGUAUACCUAUACAUUACCGCUAAAGUAGAUGAUUUAUAUUACUUGUGAUAUAAAUUUUGAAACUUUAGUGAGUAGGAAGGUACAAUGGUAUGCGUAGAAGUGUUUGGCGUAAGCCUGCAUGGAGCUGCCAUUGGUACAGAUCUUGGUGGUAGUAGCAAAUAAUCGAAUGAGACCUUGGAGGACUGAAGUGGAGAAGGGUUUCGUGUGAACAGUGGUUGAUCACGAGUUAGUCGGUCCUAAGUUCAAGGCGAAAGCCGAAAAUUUUCAAGUAAAACAAAAAUGCCUAACUAUAUAAACAAAGCGAAUUAUAAUACACUUGAAUAAUUUUGAACGAAAGGGAAUACGGUUCCAAUUCCGUAACCUGUUGAGUAUCCGUUUGUUAUUAAAUAUGGGCCUCGUGCUCAUCCUGGCAACAGGAACGACCAUAAAGAAGCCGUCGAGAGAUAUCGGAAGAGUUUUCUUUUCUGUUUUAUAGCCGUACUACCAUGGAAGUCUUUCGCAGAGAGAUAUGGUAGAUGGGCUAGAAGAGCAUGACAUAUACUGUUGUGUCGAUAUUUUCUCCUCGGACCUUGAAAAUUUAUGGUGGGGACACGCAAACUUCUCAACAGGCCGUACCAAUAUCCGCAGCUGGUCUCCAAGGUGAAGAGUCUCUAGUCGAUAGAAUAAUGUAGGUAAGGGAAGUCGGCAAAUUAGAUCCGUAACUUCGGGAUAAGGAUUGGCUCUGAAGAUUGAGAUAGUCGGGCUUGAUUGGGAAACAAUAACAUGGUUUAUGUGCUCGUUCUGGGUAAAUAGAGUUUCUAGCAUUUAUGUUAGUUACUUGUUCCCCGGAUAGUUUAGUUACGUAGCCAAUUGUGGAACUUUCUUGCUAAAAUUUUUAAGAAUACUAUUUGGGUUAAACCAAUUAGUUCUUAUUAAUUAUAACGAUUAUCAAUUAACAAUCAAUUCAGAACUGGCACGGACUUGGGGAAUCCGACUGUCUAAUUAAAACAAAGCAUUGUGAUGGCCCUAGCGGGUGUUGACACAAUGUGAUUUCUGCCCAGUGCUCUGAAUGUCAAAGUGAAGAAAUUCAAGUAAGCGCGGGUCAACGGCGGGAGUAACUAUGACUCUCUUAAGGUAGCCAAAUGCCUCGUCAUCUAAUUAGUGACGCGCAUGAAUGGAUUAACGAGAUUCCUACUGUCCCU